GCCGUGGUGGUGGAAUGGUAGACACGAAGGCCUUAAGAGCCUUUGUCCUAAAAGGACGUGGAGGUUCGAAUCCUCUCCGCGGUA
rfam:Microgenomates bacterium GW2011_GWC1_38_14 TS77_C0022, whole genome shotgun sequence.